UACAGAGGUCCCAAGCGUUGUCCGGAAUUAUUGGGCGUAAAGAGCUCGUAGGCGGUGUGUCGCGUCGGCCGUGAAAACCUGCAGCUUAACUGUGGGCUUGCGGUCGAUACGGGCAUCACUGGAGUUCGGCAGGGGAGACUGGAAUUCCUGGUGUAGCGGUGAAAUGCGCAGAUAUCAGGAGGAACACCGGUGGCGAAGGCGGGUCUCUGGGCCGAUACUGACGCUGAGGAGCGAAAGCGUGGGGAGCGAACAGG
rnacentral:rRNA from 1 species